AUUCGCCCUUAGAGUUUGAUNNUGGCUCAGGAUGAACGCUAGCUACAGGCCUAACACAUGCAAGUCGAGGGGCAUCGGGAUUGUGGUUUACCACAGUUGCCGGCGACCGGCGCACGGGUGCGUAACGCGUAUCGAACCUGCCCAUUACUCCGGGAUAGCCUUGCGAAAGCAAGUUUAAUACCGGAUGUUCUCAAUUCGGCACCUGCUGUAUUGAGCAAAGAUUUAUCGGUAAUGGAUGGCGAUGCGUCCGAUUAGGUAGCAGGCGGGGUAACGGCCCACCUGGCCUACGAUCGGUAGGGGUUCUGAGAGGAAGGUCCCCCACACUGGAACUGAGACACGGUCCAGACUCCUACGGGAGGCAGCAGUGAGGAAUAUUGGUCAAUGGUCGUGAGACUGAACCAGCCAAGUAGCGUGCGGGAUGAAGGCCCUCCGGGUCGUAAACCGCUUUUAGACGGGGAUAAAAGGGCAUACGUGUAUGCCGUAUUGCAUGUACCGUCAGAAAAAGGACCGGCUAAUUCCGUGCCAGCAGCCGCGGUAAUACGGAAGGUCCGGGCGUUAUCCGGAUUUAUUGGGUUUAAAGGGAGCGUAGGCGGACUUUCAAGUCAGUGGUAAAAUCGUGUGGCUCAACCAUACCUCGCCAUUGAAACUGGAAGUCUUGAGUGCACGCAGGGGUGCCGGAAUUCAUGGUGUAGCGGUGAAAUGCUUAGAUAUCAUGAAGAACUCCGAUCGCGAAGGCAAGUGCCCGGAGUGCAACUGACGCUGAGGCUCGAAGGUGCGGGUAUCGAACAGGAUUAGAUACCCUGGUAGUCCGCACGGUAAACGAUGGACACUCGCGGUGCGAUCAGUAUGAUUGCGUCGCUUAGCGAAAGCGUUAAGUGUCCCACCUGGGGAGUACGCCGGCAACGGUGAAACUCAAAGGAAUUGACGGGGGCCCGCACAAGCGGAGGAACAUGUGGUUUAAUUCGAUGAUACGCGAGGAACCUUACCCGGGCUUGAAUUGCGACUGACGGUAUCAGAGAUGAUACUUCCAGCAAUGGCAGUCGUGAAGGUGCUGCAUGGUUGUCGUCAGCUCGUGCCGUGAGGUGUCGGCUUAAGUGCCAUAACGAGCGCAACCCUUCUCCCUGUUUGCCAUCGGGUGAUGCCGGGCACUCCAGGGAUACUGCCAUCGUAAGAUGUGAGGAAGGUGGGGAUGACGUCAAAUCAGCACGGCCCUUACGUCCGGGGCUACACACGUGUUACAAUGGGCGGCACAGAGGGCAGCGACCGCGUGAGCGGCAGCCAAUCCCGAAAUCCGCUCUCARUUCGGACUGGAGUCUGCAACCCGACUCCACGAAGCUGGAUUCGCUAGUAAUCGCNCAUCAGCCAUGGCGCGGUGAAUACGUUCCCGGGCCUUGUACACACCGCCCGUCAAGCCAUGAAAGCCGGGAGCGCCUGAAGGCCGUGACCGCGAGGGUCGGCCUAGGGUGAUACCGGUGAUUGGGGCUAAGUCGUAACAAGGUAACCGU
rnacentral:rRNA from 1 species